rnacentral:rRNA from 1 species
CCUACGGGAGGCAGCAGUGGGGAAUAUUGGGCAAUGGGCGCAAGCCUGACCCAGCAACGCCGCGUGAAGGAAGAAGGCUUUCGGGUUGUAAACUUCUUUUAUUGAGGACGAAACAAAUGACAUUACUCAAUGAAUAAGCCACGGCUAACUACGUGCCAGCAGCCGCGUUAAUCCGUAGGUGGCAAGCGUUAUCCGCAUUUACUGGGUGAAAAGGCCGUGGAGGCGGGACUGCAAGUCAGAUGUGAAACCCAUGGGCUCAACCCAUGGACUGCAUUUGAAACUGUAGUUCUUGAGUGCUGGAGAGGCAGGCGGAAUUCCGGGUGUAGCGGUGAAAGGCGUAGAUAUACGGAGGAAAACCAGUGGCGAAGGCGGCAUGCUGGACAUUAACUGACGCUGGGGCGCGAAAGCGUGGGGAGCAAAAAGGAUUAGAUACCCUGUAGUC